rnacentral:snRNA from 1 species
AAGAACAAAACGGUGCUUGCUGUGGCUAAAAUUGGAACGGUACAGAGCAGAUUGGCGUGGCCCCUGCGCAAGGAUGACACGCAAAGUUGUGAAGCGUUCCAUAUUUAA